rnacentral:rRNA from 1 species
GAUGAACGCUGGCGGCGUGCCUAAUACAUGCAAGUCGAGCGAACGGACGAGAAGCUUGCUUCUCUGAUGUUAGCGGCGGACGGGUGAGUAACACGUGGAUACCCUACCUAUAAGACUGGGAUAACUUCGGGAAACCGGAGCUAAUACCGGCUAAUAUUUUGAACCGCAUGGUUCAAAAGUGAAAGACGGUCUUGCUGUCACUUAUAGAUGGAUCCGCGCUGCAUUAGCUAGUUGGUAAGGUAACGGCUUACCAAGGCAACGAUGCAUAGCCGACCUGAGAGGAUGAUCAGCCACACUGGGACUGAGACACGGUCCAGACUCCUACGGGAGGCAGCAGUAGGGAAUCUUCCGCAAUGGGCGAAAGCCUGACGGAGCAACGCCGCGUGAGUGAUGAAGGUCUUCGGAUCGUAAAACUCUGUUAUUAGGGAAGAACAGAUGUGUAAGUAACUGUGCACAUCUUGACGGUACCUAAUCAGAAAGCCACGGCUAACUACGUG